UACAGAGGGUGCAAGCGUUGUUCGGAAUUACUGGGCGUAAAGCGCGUGUAGGCUGCGAUGUAAGUCAGGUGUGAAAGCCCUCAGCUUAACUGAGGAAGUGCACUUGAUACUGUGUCGCUUGAGUGUCGGAGGGGGGUGGCGGAAUUCCCGGUGUAGAGGUGAAAUUCGUAGAUAUCGGGAGGAACACCUGUGGCGAAGGCGGCCACCUGGACGACAACUGACGCUGAGACGCGAAAAGCGUGGGUAGCAAACAGG
rnacentral:rRNA from 1 species